rnacentral:rRNA from 1 species
ACGAACGCUGGCGGCGUGCUUAACACAUGCAAGUCGCACGGAAAGGCCCUGCUUGCAGGGUACUCGAGUGGCGAACGGGUGAGUAACACGUGGGUGAUCUGCCCUGCACUUCGGGAUAAGCCUGGGAAACUGGGUCUAAUACCGGAUAGGAGCCAUUUUUAGUGUGAUGGUUGGAAAGUUUUUUCGGUGUAGGAUGAGCUCGCGGCCUAUCAGCUUGUUGGUGGGGUAAUGGCCUACCAAGGCGGCGACGGGUAGCCGGCCUGAGAGGGUGGACGGCCACAUUGGGACUGAGAUACGGCCCAGACUCCUACGGGAGGCAUCAGUGGGGAAUAUUGCACAAUGGGCGCAAGCCUGAUGCAGCGACGCCGCGUGGGGGAUGACGGCCUUCGGGUUGUAAACUCCUUUCGCUAGGGACGAAGCUUUUUGUGACGGUACCUAGAUAAGAAGCACCGGCUAACUACGU